rnacentral:lncRNA from 1 species
CACAGCUUUUUUCUUUUAAAGGAUUAUUAAGUGUUCUGAAUAUUUUAUCCAUUUUCUGCCUUUGCAAAAUUCAUUAUAGAAAAUGUAAUACUGGAUCAAAGAAGGAAAAUUUCCACUAUGGGAGAAGUGAGCUUGAAAUGAAAGUUUUCAGGCUAGUUGCCUCAGAACUCCAUCCUAAGUGAAAGUCCCGCCCCUUGACAAAGAACUUGGCAUGAGAGAGAUACAGUGAAAGGGAAUAGUGACGUUCAACAACUAGGCCACACACACACCGAGAGGUCCGACUGGAGAUUUUAUUCAAGGGCUGGGAGGAGAGAGAGAGAGAAGAGAGAGAGAGAGCAGAGAGCAGAGGCAGAGAAGAGGAAGAAGAAGAAGAGAAGAGAAGAGAAAAAAGAAGCCUUCUUUUUUCAUCAUAAAUUCUCUGGAGGAAAUGUGAAUUUCAAAGAUUAAACUGUUUGCAACUAUGGUGGCUUGAAAUUAUGAUGUCUACUUGCUUUUUUGAGUUGCUACAGUAUGUUGA